UACACUCCUGCGGGAGGCAGCAGUGGGGAAUUUUGGACAAUGGGCGAAAGCCUGAUCCAGCAAUGCCGCGUGAGUGAAGAAGGCCUUCGGGUUGUAACGCUCUUUUGUCAGGGAAGAAACGGUGAAAGCUAAUAUCUUUUGCUAAUGACGGUACCUGAAGAAUAAGCACCGGCUAACUACGUGCCAGCAGCCGCGGUAAUACGUAGGGUGCAAGCGUUAAUCGGAAUUACUGGGCGUAAAGCGUGCGCAGGCGGUUUUGUAAGUCUGAUGUGAAAUCCCCGGGCGCAACCUGGGAAUUGCAUUGGAGACUGCAAGGCUAGAAUCUGGCAGAGGGGGGUAGAAUUCCACGUGUAGCAGUGAAAUGCGUAGAUAUGUGAAGGAACACCGAUGGCGAAGGCAGCCCCCUGGGUCAAGAUUGACGCUCAUGCACGAAAGCGUGGGGAGCAAACAGGAUUAGAAACCCUAGUAGUCCCAUGA
rnacentral:rRNA from 1 species